UGCAUUUUAUAAAACGCAGCUCUGGGUUUGUUAUUAAAAAAAAAAAAAAGCCGUCAAUAGGACACAACAACGGAAAAAACCCUAAAUUGAAAAAACUCUCAGCUCACUCAGCCCCAUCCCUUCCUUUCUCCCACGCCUGAGACCGAACCCAACCUUGAAACUUUUUAACCAGUGAGGGCAUUGGCUUGGGCAUUAGAGUUGAGGUGAUAUCAGUGUGGAGAUCGGUGUGGGUCAUUAGCAUGGAGAUCUGUACUCCAGUUGUGCUUCGAUUCGUGGGAUCGUGCUCCGAUCUGUGCUCCGAUUCGUGGGAUCAUGGGUGUCGCCGUCGGUCUAGCCGUGGGUCGUGGUUGUGGUGCUUGUUUUGCGGUGGUGCUGGGUUUCUAUUUUUGUCAUGGGUUGCUGAGGGUUUCUAUUUGGUUUCUAUUUUUGUCUUUUGGGUUGCUGAAUAUUUGAUUUGUAAGGUGCUCGAUUAUGGGUAUUGGUUGUGGCGAUGUUGGUGCUCGAUUCGUGGGUUUGGGUUGCCAGUGCUAGUGGGUUUUGGUUGUGUUUUCUGGGUCUGAGUUGCUGUGUUUUUUGGAUUUGGAUCUGGGUUUGCUGUGUUUUUCUCAGUAUAGUGCUAGUGUAUCAGAGAUGGAGAAAUGAAUUGUUCUGGGUUUGGGUCUUGUUUGCUCUGUUUCAGAGAUGAGAGAACGAAGAGGAAGAGAGGGACAAUAGUUUUCUGAUGGUGUGAACCUCUCGAGGUUGAGGAUGAAGAAAUUGUAUUAUCCAGCAAAUUGACAUGAGUUGCACUUGGCUUAAGAAACUAUAUAUCAGUGAGGCAGAGAAAGCAGUUAAUAAACUAACAUGAGCUCUAAUGGUGUGAACCUCUCGAGGUUGAGGAUGAAGAAUGGACCCACAGGUCAGUGUGUUUGCUUGGUUAAUGAAUUGGGCAACCGUACCAUGCGGUCGUGUCUCUCCAAUGCUGUGAAAGUUCAGGCGGAUGACUUGACCAGAGACGAUUUCAAGGGCUCCAAGUUCCUCUAGAAUAAGAACCAGAUUCCAAUAGCAUUUUUCUCUUUCUUUUUGCUUUUUUCCUACAUUAUUGCUGUUAUUCUUUGUAUAAUAAUAGUUCAAAUACUUCAUUCACUCAUAGAAUAGUUGACUAAAUUUAUACCCCAGCUAUAGUGUAUAACAGACUUAACAGUACAGAUACUGUUGUUUCUUAUCUGAAAAUAACUCCUUGUAAUAUAGAUAAUGUCAUUCCUUCCA